CUAUUAAGAAUACAGAAGCAUCCUCAAUAUGUUUUAGGUGAUCAGUCUGUUCCUAGUAGUAUUUGUGUAUUGUUUCCACUCGUGUUUGCUGGCAAUGAUGAUGGCACUGUUGUC